rnacentral:rRNA from 1 species
AAUUAAUUUAGUUUCUUAAAUAAUUUUAUCAUUAUAAUCUUUAAAUUAAAUUAAAAAUUAAAAAGUUUUAAAAUUAAAUUAAAUGAUUUUAAAAAAAUUAAUUUAAUAUAUAAAUUAAAAAAAAGAAAAAUUUUUUUUUUUUACCUUUUGUAUCAGGGUUAAUUUAAAAAUUUAAUUUAAAAUUAAUUUCUCGAAUUUAAAAAAUUUAAAUAAUUACUUAUUUUAAUAUAAAAAUAUUAAAUAAAAUAAUUUUUUAGAAACAAAAAAUUAAUCAAUUUUAAAAUUAUCUAGUUAUUUAUGAAAUAAAUUUAAUUUAUAUAUAAUUUUUAAAUAAUAUUUUUAUAAUAAAAUUAACAAAUUAUAUAAAUAAUUUUAGGAAUAAACUUAAAAUUAUUAUUAAAAAUUUUUUUUCUAUUAAAUAAUAUAAAAAUAAAAUUUUUUUUAUUAAUAAAAAUUUAAUAAUUUAAUUUAUUAAUUUAAUAAAUAAAUUAUAAUAAUAUAAUUAUUUAAAAAAAUUUUAAAAAUUUAAUAAAUCAAUUAAUUAAAUUUAAAUUUUUAAAAAAUAAUGAUUAAAUUAGUAAUAUAAAAAUUUAAUUAAUAUUUUUUAAUUAUAAAAAUUAAGUUUAAUAAACUCGGCAAAAUUUAUAUUCACCUGUUUAACAAAAACAUGUCUUAUUGAAAAUAAUAUUAAGUCAAAUCUGCUCAAUGAAAAAUUAAAUAGCUGCAGUAUUAAUAACUGUACAAAGGUAGCAUAAUAAUUAGUUUUUUAAUUAAAAACUAGAAUGAAAGAUUUAAUGAAAUAUAAACUGUCUCAAAUUUAAAAAAUAAAUUUUUUUUUUAAAUAAAAAAAUUUAAAUUUUAUUUAAAGACGAGAAGACCCUAUAGAAUUUAAAUUAUAAUUUUAUAAUAAAUAACUUUAAUAAUUUUAAUUGGGGAAAUUUUAAAAUUAAAAUAAUUUUUAAUUUUAUAAACAAUUAUUUUUGAAUAAAAAAUUUUUUUUAAAAAAAGAAAAUUAAAUUACCUUAGGGAUAACAGCAUAAUUUUUUUAAAAAGUUCAAAUUUAUAAAAAAGUUUAUGACCUCGAUGUUGAAUUAAGAAAAAAUUUUUUGUAAAAAAAAUAUUUUUUAAGUCUGUUCGACUUUUAAAAUCUUACAUGAUUUGAGUUAAGAUCGGUGCAAGCCAGAUCGGAUUCUAUCUUAAAUAAUUUUUUUUAUUUUUGUACGAAAGGAAUUUAUAAAAAAAAUAAUUUUAACUUUAAA